rfam:Hymenobacter roseosalivarius DSM 11622 genome assembly, contig: Hros_Contig00005
AGGUAAGUAAACAAGGGCACACGGGGGAUGCCUAGGCUCUCAGAGGCGAAGAAGGACGUGAUAAGCUGCGAAAAGCCGCGGGGAUUGGCACAUACGAAGUGAUCCGCGGGUAUCCGAAUGGGGCAACCCACUUACGUGAAGCGUAAGGGCGUAUAUAUUUAGUUAUAUACGGGCAAACCCGGGGAACUGAAACAUCUAAGUACCCGGAGGAACAGAAAAUAACAAUGAUUCCCUAAGUAGUGGCGAGCGAACGGGGACGAGCCCAAACCGAGCUGGUUACGGCCAGCGCGGGGUUGUAGGACCUCAACAUCUGAUUGUUUGAUUUUAGCUGAACGACGUGGGAAAGUCGAUCAUAGAGGGUGAGAAUCCCGUAAGCGAGCAGAUCAAGCACGGUAGAGGAUUCCUGAGUAGGGGGGGACCGGAGAAAUCCCCUCUGAAUCCAGCGGCACCAUCCGCUAAGGCUACAUACUCCUGAGAGACCGAUAGUGAACCAGUACCGUGAGGGAAAGGUGAAAAGAACCUCGAAUAGAGGAGUGAAAAGAACCUGAAACCGUGUGCUUACAAGCGGUCGGAGCCCUUUUGUGGGGUGACGGCGUGCCUUUUGCAUAAUGAGCCUACGAGUUACUCCUCCCUGGCGAGGUUAAAUGCUUCGAAGCAUGGAGCCGCAGCGAAAGCGAGUCUGAAUAGGGCGCAGAGUCAGGGGGGGUAGACGCGAAACUUUGUGAUCUACCCAUGACCAGGGUGAAGGUUGGGUAAAACCAACUGGAGGCCCGAACCAGUUUCCGUUGAAAAGGAUUUGGAUGAGUUGUGGGUAGGGGUGAAAGGCCAAUCAAACUGAGAAAUAGCUCGUACUCCCCGAAAUGUAUUUAGGUACAGCGUCGAGGUGAAGUCAGCGGGAGGUAGAGCUACCGAUUGGACUAGGGGGUGUCACAGCCUACCGAAUCCAGACGAACUCCGAAUGCCCGUUGAUAUACUCGGCAGUGAGGCGUGGGGUGCUAAGGUCCCAUGCCGAGAGGGAAAGAACCCAGACCAUCCGCUAAGGUCCCUAAAUUCGGACUAAGUUGAACAAAGGAGGUCCACUUGCCUUGACAGCCAGGAUGUUGGCUUGGAAGCAGCCAUUCAUUUAAAGAGUGCGUAACAGCUCACUGGUCGAGCGAGAGGGCAUCGAUAAUACGCGGGCAUCAAGUCCGGUACCGAAGCGAUGGAUUUACACGUAGGUGUAAGUGGUAGGGGAGCAUUCUAGCAGCGGAGAAGGUAUCCUGUCAGGGGUGCUGGAGCGGCUAGAAAAGCAAAUGUAGGCAUGAGUAACGAUAAGGCGGGUGAGAAACCCGCCCCCCGAUAGACUAAGGUUUCCUGCUCAACGCUAAUCGGAGCAGGGUUAGUCGGGACCUAAGGCUACGCCGAGAGGCUACGUCGAUGGACAGCUGGUUGAUAUUCCAGCACUUACAACAGGAAGUGAUGCAGUGACGCAGAAGUGAAAGUACCGCGGGCGGACGGAAGUGCCCGUUGAAGCGUGUAGGUAUAGGGUUGGUAGGUAAAUCCGCCGACUUUGCUGAACCGUGAUAGUACCCUACGGCCUCGGCCACGGGGAUAGUGUACCUAAUCAGACUGCCAAGAAAACCUGCUAAGCGUUUUAAUUCUGUUGUAACCCGUACCGCAAACCGACACAGGUAGUCAAGGAGAGUAUCCUGAGGGGCUCGAGUGAAUCACGGCCAAGGAACUCGGCAAAAUGGACCUGUAACUUCGGGAGAAGGGUCGCUUCCUCUGCGCAAGCAGAGAAGCCGCAGUGAAAAGGCCCAGGCGACUGUUUAACAAAAACACAUGACUUUGCGAACGCGCAAGCGGAAGUAUAAGGUCUGACACCUGCCCGGUGCCGGAAGGUUAAGAGGGGAACUUAGUGGCGCAAGCUGCGAAGGUUUGAAUCGAAGCCCCGGUAAACGGCGGCCGUAACUAUAACGGUCCUAAGGUAGCGAAAUUCCUUGUCGGGUAAGUUCCGACCUGCACGAAUGGUGUAACGAUCUGGGCGCUGUCUCAGCCGUGAGCUCGGUGAAAUUGUAGUCUCGGUGAAGAUGCCGAGUACCCGCCACGGGACGGAAAGACCCCGUGCACCUUUACUAUAGCUUGACAUUGACGCUGGGUAACACAUGUGUAGGAUAGGUGGGAGGCUUUGAGCCGGAGGCGCCAGCUUUCGGGGAGCCAACGUUGAAAUACCACCCUUGUGUUACUCGGUGCCUAAUCUCCGAGACGGGGAAACAGUGUCUGGUGGGUAGUUUGACUGGGGUGGUCGCCUCCAAAAGAGUAUCGGAGGCUUUCAAAGGUCCGCUCAGACCGCUUGGUAACCGGUUGUAGAGCGCAAUAGCAGAAGCGGGCUUGACUGUGAGGCCUACAAGCCGAGCAGGGUCGAAAGACGGAUAUAGUGAUCCGGUGGUUCCGCAUGGAAGGGCCAUCGCUCAAAGGAUAAAAGGUACGCCGGGGAUAACAGGCUGAUCUCCCCCAAGAGCUCAUAUCGACGGGGAGGUUUGGCACCUCGAUGUCGGCUCGUCACGUCCUGGGGCUGGAGAAGGUCCCAAGGGUUCGGCUGUUCGCCGAUUAAAGUGGCACGCGAGCUGGGUUCAGAACGUCGUGAGACAGUUCGGUCCCUAUCUGUGGUGGGCGUUAGAGAUUUGCGAGGACCUGUCCUUAGUACGAGAGGACCGGGAUGGACCAGCCGCUCGUGCACCGGUUGUGGCGCCAGCUGCAGCGCCGGGUAGCGACGCUGGGAUGAGAUAAGCGCUGAAAGCAUCUAAGUGCGAAACUCACCUCAAGAUGAGAUCUCUUAUAUAGGAAGAGUCGUGGGAGACGACCACGUCGAUAGGCUAUAGGUGGAAGGUCCGAAAUGGCCGAGCCGAGUAGUACUAAUGACUCGAACACUUACCAGA